CAGGCCAGCUCAACACCUGCUGAUUUGCAUGUCCCAGAGCGCAGCAGUAUAGGGACUUAUACGCUGUCACAUCCUGUGCAGGAGGUAGAUCCAGUCGGGACACAGCAUGAACAUGAGGGUCUCCGCUCAGGUCCUGGGGCUCCUGCUGCUCUGGCUGUCAGGUGUGCGAUGUGACAUCCAGGUGACCCAGACUCCAUCCUCGCUGGCUGCCUCUGUAGGAGACACAGUCACCAUCAGUUGCAGGGCCAGUCAGAGUGUUAGCAGUUACGUAAACUGGUACCAGCAGAAACUAGGGAAAUCUCCUACCCUCCUCAUCUAUAAUGCUAAGAAUUUGCAAUCUGGGGUCCCGUCAAGGUUCAGCGGCAGUGGGUCUGGGACAGAUUUCACUCUCACCAUCAGGAACCUGCAGCCUGAAGACUUUGCAACUUAUUACUGUAUGCAGCAUAAUAGUUCCCCUCCCACAGUGAUUCAAGCCAUAACAAAAACCUCCCGAAGAAGCAGAAGUGCGAGUCUGGGCUGCCCAGCUGCUCCUCCUGGUGCCCCCACCUGCUAA